AGCUUGUUGGUAAGGUAACGGCUUACCAAGGCUAAGACGGCUAGGGGGCGUGAGAGCGCGAUCCCCCACAAUGGGACUGAGACACGGCCCAUACUCCUACGGGAGGCAGCAGUGAGGAAUAUUGCACAAUGGGGGCAACCCUGAUGCAGCAACGCCGCGUGAACGAUGAAGGCCUUCGGGUCGUAAAGUUCUUUUCUGAGGGACGAUAAUGACGGUACCUCAGGAAUAAGUCCCGGCUAACUACGUGCCAGCAGCCGCGGUAAAACGUAGGGGGCGAGCGUUAUCCGGAUUUAUUGGGCGUAAAGCGCGCGUAGGCGGCGCGGUAAGUUGGACGUGAAAGCUCCCGGCUCAACUGGGAGAGGUCGUUCAAAACUACCGUGCUUGAGGUUGGAAGAGGAGAGUAGAAUUCCCGGUGUAGUGGUGGAAUGCGUAGAUAUCGGGAGGAAUACCAGUGGCGAAAGCGACUCUCUGGUCCACACCUGACGCUGAGGUGCGAAAGCGUGGGUAGCGAACGGGAUUAGAUACCCCGGUAGUCCACGCUGUAAACGAUGGAUACUAGGUGUAGGGGGUCACUUAACCCCUCUGUGCCGGAGCAAACGCGUUAAGUAUCCCGCCUGGGGACUACGGCCGCAAGGCUAAAACUCAAAGGAAUUGACGGGGGCCCGCACAAGCAGCGGAGCGUGUGGUUUAAUUCGAUACGCGAAGAACCUUACCUGGGCUGAACUACGUGGUAGUAGAGAAGCGAAAGUGGAUCGACCCUUCGGGGAGCCUCGAUAGGUGCUGCAUGGCUGUCGUCAGCUCGUGUCGUGAGAUGUUGGGUUAAGUCCCGCAACGAGCGCAACCCUCGUCGUUAGUUAUACGUGUCUAGCGAGACUGCCGGUAUCAAACCGGAGGAAGGUGGGGAUGACGUCAAGUCAGCAUGGUCUUUAUGUCCAGGGCUACACACACGCUACAAUGGCUGGUACAACAGGUUGCCACAUCGCGAGAUGGAGCUAAUCCCUAAAGCCAGUCUCAGUUCGGAUUGCAGUCUGCAACUCGACUGCAUGAAGGUGGAGUUGCUAGUAACCGCGCGUCAGCAUAGUGCGGUGAAUGCGUUCCCGGGCCUUGUACACACCGCCCGUCACAUCAUGGAAGUCGGUAACACCUGAAGUCGGUGACCUAACCGCAAGGAAGGAGCUGCCUAAGGUGGGACCGGUAACUGGGAUGAAGUCGUAACAAGGUAGCUGUAGCGGAAGCUGCGGCUG
rnacentral:rRNA from 1 species